CAGUAAUAUAACUGUACAAAGGUAGCAUAAUCAUUAGUUUUUUAAUUAAAAGCUUGUAUGAAAGGUUGGACGAAGUAAAAUCUGUCUCUUUUUAAUAUAAUUAGAAUUUAAUUUUUAAGUAAAAAAGCUUAAAUUUAUAUAAAAGACGAGAAGACCCUAUAGAGUUUAAUAAUUAAUUUUAAAUAAUUAAUUUAGAUUUAUUUAUUUUAUUUAUUAUAAAAUUAUUUUAUUGGGGUAAUAAAAAGAUUAAUAUAAUUCUUUUUUUUUAUUACAUUAAUUUAUGAAUUAAAUGAUCCAUUUUUAUGAUUAAAAGAUUAAAUUACCUUAGGGAUAACAGCGUAAUUUUUUUAAAGAGUUCAUAUCGAUAAAAAAGUUUGCGACCUCGAUGUUGGAUUAAAGAUUAGUUUAGGUGUAGAAUUUUAAAUUUUUGGUCUGUUCGACCAUUAAAUCUUUACAUGAUCUGAGUUCAAACCGGUGUAAGCCAGGUUGGUUUCUAUCUUUAUAGAAUUUUUAUAUUUUAGUACGAAAGGACCAAAUAUUUAAUAUAUAAAUAUUUAAUAUUUUGAAUAU
rnacentral:rRNA from 1 species